UUUUAUCAAGGGGGGGAGGGAGGGAGACGAGAAAGCCUCUUUAAAACGAGCCUGUGACGAUGAUGCACAUUACCAGAGGCGGCCCGUCAUCAGGGGGAGCGGCGCCCGUCGCUGGGACGCGGUCCCGGCGCCCCGAGCCGUGAGCCGCGCGGCAGCAGCGCUCUGCGACCCGCUCUCUGUUCCCGCGGGGCCGCCUAUGCACAUUACCCUUCUUUCAUUACUUUCUCAUGUCAUUUUUUUUUAAUCCCCAAAAAAAUAUUUUUUAAAAGUUAAAAAAAAUAGACAUAUCAAACAUGCAAAUACUUGAAUCCAGCAGGCCAAUAAUGAAAUGUGAACACUUUCUAAGUCUAAUUCUACACUUCCGGGUUGACAUCAGUACGCAGAAACAGGCUCUAGGAAAAAUUUCUACGUUCACAGCCUCUGUGUGUGUGUGUGUGUAUGUGUGGAAACAAGCGUGUGUGUGUGCGUGUGCGUGCGCACUUUCUGUGUUUGUGUGGUAAGUGUGUGAGGGAUUUAACUGUGGGUUCUCCCUUGUGUUCAGUAUGUGCUUUUUUUUUUUUUUUGGCGCAUUGGUCAAACGUUUGUUAUUAUUGUUAGCUUCUAACUUUGCACUGAGUGUCCCUGCCCUUCCUUUAGCUAAUCCUAUACAUUACAGAGAAUUCAUAGGACAGGGCUGGUGACAAUUCACGUGUAAAUGUUUACUCAAGGACUCUGUUAUUGUGUUUAAAAAUUACAGUGUAUAUCUCUGGAGAAAUAAUAUGUAUACCUACCUUUAGCAGCUUUUUAUUGUGGACUAAUGCAAGAAAAUUAUUACCAGAGUAUUGCACCAUUUUUCCAUUUGGAAUAUAAAAUUGAAGAGAAAAAACUCUCGUUGAACUGUGGCCAUAGAUACUUGUAGAGGAUGGAUGGUUCCGCGGGAGGAACGGAAACAAGCACUUGGACGUGGGUUGUGACUGCUUUCAGAGGAGCCUGUGGUUAGGGCUCCCACCUGUUUACAGACCUUUUUUUCUCCUUCAGACUUUAAAAUAAAAAAAAAUUUUAAAAAGGAAUUUAAAAAAAAGAAAAGAAAAAAAAAAAAAAAAAGACUUCCGUCGUAAAGAAAGCUAUUUUCAGAAUGCAGAUGUGCUACUUCAGAGCUCUGGGAUCGAACAGUGUUGUGUCCCCUCCGGCCGUCGUCGUCGUGGACUCUGUCGACUGUCCCCUUCGUCCAGGUGGCGAGUGUGGUCACUGUCUUGCACACGCGGAUGCACUCUCAGGAAAGCCAGGGUUCCCGAGGGGCAGCUCCACACCAUUUCAUGUAUUUUGUAACCCAACUCCUAGCACUGAAGAUGUUAUUAAAAAACAAACAAAAAAUAAAGAAAAAAAAAGAAAAAAGAGGAAAAAAAACACAAAGAAGAAAGAUACCUAAUCUCUAACGUGUAGCAGUUACGUAUGUACCAAAUAAUGGACUCAAAGGAAAUAGAUGUUCGAAGAGUGCUUUAUAUAUUAAAAAUUGCUUUAUGUUUUAAAAAUGAUCAAUGUUUUGAUUGUUUUGCAAGAAAGAAAGACAAUGGAGUAACAUACCCUCAAGUAUGUUUAAAAAAAUAUAUGAACAUGUGCUCCCUGCCUGCUUGAUCAGGAAACUUGUGCAUUACAUUUUUUUUAAUUAGCUUUUUAAUGGUUUUAUCAAAACAAAAGAA